UACAGAGGAUGCAAGCGUUAUCCGGAAUGAUUGGGCGUAAAGCGUCUGUAGGUGGCUUUUUAAGUCCGCCGUCAAAUCCCAGGGCUCAACUCUGGACAGGCGGUGGAAACUACCAAGCUGGAGUACGGUAGGGGCAGAGGGAAUUUCCGGUGGAGCGGUGAAAUGCGUAGAGAUCGGAAAGAACACCGGUGGCGAAGGCGGCCCGCUGGGCUGUUGCUGACGCUGAGGCGCGACAGCGUGGGGAGCAAACAGG
rnacentral:rRNA from 1 species